rnacentral:rRNA from 1 species
GGGUGAGUAACGCGUAUGGAACCAACCCGCAACAGGGGGAUAACCCGGAGAAAUCCGGACUAAUACCGCAUGGUACUCUUUGCACAGAAGUGUGAAGAUUUAAAGAUGCGAAUCGGUUGCGGACGGUCAUGCGUUCCAUUAGCUAGUUGGCGGGGUAACGGCCCACCAAGGCGACGAUGGAUAGGGGUUCUGAGAGGAAGGUCCCCCACACUGGUACUGAGACACGGACCAGACUCC